rnacentral:lncRNA from 10 species
GCUCUUUCUCGCGUUCCCGCUCGCGCUCGCGCUCCUUUUCUUCGCGCGCGCGCUGCUCGGCCUCGCGCCGCACCUUCUCCACCAGGUCGGCCCGCUUCUUGGCCAGCUUGGAGCCCUCCAGUGGCACGAAGUACAGGUCGCUGCGCGCGCACGAGUUGAAGCCGCGAUCCAGGUGUUUGUUGAACCUGCCGGGCGUGGAAGCAGCGGGCGCUCAGGCGGUGCGAGCUGCCCGAUGGAGCCCGCAGCGCCGCGGCCCCGGCGAGUGCUUGUAGCCCCCGCCUCAAAACCACCCCUGCAGGCUGUGAGCUGCUGCGGGCCUCACUGG